rnacentral:misc_RNA from 1 species
GAUGAAGAACGUAGCGAAAUGCGAUACUUGGUGUGAAUUGCAGAAUCCCGUGAACCAUCGAGUCUUUGAACGCAAGUUGCGCCUCAAGCCAUUAGGUUGAGGGCACGUCUGCCUGGGCGUCACAUAUCGUUGCCUGAUGCCAGUUUCCUCGUGAUGGGUGACUGUGCAGGGCGAAUGAUGGCUUCCCGUGAGCAUUGUUGCCUCAUGGUUGGUUGAAAAUUGAGUUCUUGGUAGGGAGCGCCGUGAUAGAUGGUGGUUGAGUGACGAACGAGACCCAAUCAUGUGAGACCCCUACCGAAUUUGGCCUUCAUGACCCACAUGCGUCUUUGGAACGCUCAUGACGAGACCUCAGGUCAGGCGGGGCUACCCGCUGAGUUUAAGCAUAUCAAUAAGCGGAGGA